rnacentral:lncRNA from 1 species
GGUCCAGCUAAUGAUCCAAUGAGAGCAUCCCAAUUCAUAUACAACUUUUUCGAUUGGCUGUAAAAGCCAGGUAAUGGAUACCACCAGGAGAGGUUGACUGGAUACACCAUAUCUCUUCACUCACUCAAAGACCCAAACUGAUGGAGAAGUAAACAUCCCUACCAGUCACAGUGGCAGAAGGAAAGAAAGCUUUGAAGUGUCUUCAACUGGAAAUCAAAUUCUCCAUCCUAGAAGAGACGAUCAUUAUUUCCUUAAUGAUUAAUUAUUUACAACUUGUGGACCCGGAGUCAUUAUAUGACCUACCCCAAUCACCAGGGACUUUGUAGUAUAAUUUUACAACAUCUGGAAUGCAGACAGCCUAAUAUAU